UUUGCCACUUCUCGCUUUUUAUGUAGCCAACCCUAGCUCACGCUACAGACUGGUAUUGUUGAGUCGGUUCAAUGUUUUUGGUUCAUGUUUUGGCAGAUCUUUUGUGUCCAUUCGAAUCCUCAAUCUCUAAUGUGAAUUCUCAUACUUUUUCCAAUCAAAUUGGCCACUCAUAGCCUUUUAUGUAGCAAACCCUAGCUCAAGCUGCAGACUGGUAUUGUUGAGUCGGUUCAAUUUUUUUGAUUAUUGUUUUGGCAGAUCUUUGGUGUCCAGUCGAAUCCUCAAUCUCUAAUGUGAACUCUCAUACGUUUAUUAAUCAAAUUGGCCACUCCUAGCCGUUUUUGUAGCCAACCCUAGCUCACGCGACAGACUGGUACUGUUGAGUCGGUUCAAUUUUUUUGAUUCAUGUUUUGUCAGAUCUUUUGUGUCCAUUCGAAUCCUCAGUCUCUAAUGUGAAUUCUCAUACUUUUUCCAAUAAAAUUGGCCACUUAUAGCCUUUUAUGUUGCCAACCCUAGCUCACGUGACAGACUGGUACUGUUGAGUCAGUUCAAUUUUUUUGAUUCAUGUUUUGGCAGAUCUUUUGUGUCCAUUCGAAUCCUCAAUCUCUAAUGUGAAUUCUCAUACUUUUUCCAAUAAAAUUGGCCACUUAUCGCCUGUUAUGUUGCCAACCCUAGC
rnacentral:lncRNA from 1 species